rnacentral:lncRNA from 1 species
UGAGAACUGAAAAAUCAUAAGAGAGGUCUUAGGUUCAAUCAUGGGCAUCACCUUCCUUGCUUUGUCUAGGAACAUUGUGAUUUAUCUUCGCCUUGUUGGCUGUGGGGAUGAUUAUGGGUGGGUGGCAUAUACCCUUUACAAUUGUAGAGAGGCUAAUCCACUAAAAUUUUUCCUCAAGGAUUCAAAUAGAUAUUAUUUGAUGAUGGAUAAAUCAUUAAUAUAUCUACCCCUUGCUUCCUAUAUAACCCAAUCAUUAAAAUAUCCAAACCUAAUUCAUGCCUUACCUUCAAAGUUCAAACCCAAAUCAUAUCCCAACCUGCGCCCAGCAUUUCCCUGAAAGUCACCAUUUCUAUUCGAUAAUGUUUUCUACCAAAAUGUAGGAACACAAGAGCAUAUAGCAAUCAAUUUCGAUAGACCACAUAGCAAAUGAAAUCCUCUUUGAAUCAAGUCACGGCUGACAUCUCUUAAGUCAGGAAGGAUCAAACAACAUCUUAAAAAAAUGUGUGUGAAUAGGCAAGACCUUUUAUCAGAUACAUAGAAAGAGAUAAGUUUAAAUUGAACCAAAUACUGAGGGAAAACGCAUGUAGCCAUGAAAAAUAAGCUGAUGAUCAUUUCAAGGUAAAGCUCAGAUCCUCUUUUAUGCAAAACAAAAGUAUCACGACUAAAACAUGAGAGAUCCACAAGGUGUUGUUAGCUAGAUUGUGUAAAACCAUGAGCAUACUUCAAGCCAUAUGAGAUUCGGCACCAAGAAAUGCCUCAAGCAACAAGAGCUCCAGGAAAAUGAGUGAAUUUCUUGUGUUCACAAACUAAAUCAUUGUGAUAUGAAGCUUUCAUACGCAUUGAAUCUCCUUCUAAGAUGAAAUAGAUCUUGGUAAAAAGAAAUACAUAUACAUGAUGAAACGAAAAGGGGUUGACAUUAUUGUGCAAAGAGUAAAAGCAAUCUGGAGUAACACAAUCUCAAAAAAUGAAGUGCUGGUUGAUGCAGAUUACAUAACACUCAGAAAUUCACGAAACUACUGAAACAAUAUAGCCUCUUACUAUAACACUCAGUGUACGAAGAAAGACUCAGGACAACUUCACUAAACCCUAAACCUUAAAUGCAAACACACGCAUGAGUUGAUUAGUCAAGGAAUUGGGGAGCCAAAAAGGAAAUAGAUACUAAAUCACAAGACUAAUUAGAACUACAGACCAGGAGAAGCUUUGACUUCAGAAACACACUCACUUCAAUGGGAUUACAACCAAACAAUGUAUAUGAUUGUCAAUUUUGACAUACAUAAGCUAAAAUUACAAAAAUUUCGAUAAUUCCCAAAGUUACGAUCAUGAUUUUCUACUCAAAACUAUAGACACGACUCUAAAAGAAGCCCAUACGAAAUCAACAUUGUGCUUUGGUUUACAUCCUGAAACUUUAUGCAACUUUCAGAGAAGUAUCUCUUUCUACCAGUGGACAUGUCUUUAGUCUUUACAUACAAAGAACAUGAGAUUAUGUGUAAGACGGACUCUAUCCAUGCAGAGAACAUUGAGUAACGACUUCUAAGGGAUUGGUUUCACUUGUAUUUGAAUUUAUGGAUGAAUGAGCCACAGUGUUCCAAAAACAUGUAGAGGGUAUCAUUAUCAUGAAUCAUAUCAUAGGAUACAAAUUUAAUUAGAAUACGUCUGAUAGAUAAUAUUAUUGGUGUUCCAAAAAAUCCUACUUAGGGCGCUUAAGCAUCCAUUGGGUGUUCUCCUUAUGGUUUUAAUUAGAAAGGGUCACUAAAUCAUCCACCUAGCUUAAGCAUCCCUCACCACUUAUAUUAGCCGCUAAUCGUCAAAAAUAAGAACUUGAAAAAUAAUAAGGGGACUAUUUCUCAUACAGGAAGUUAUCUUCUCAAUCCUUAAUGGCUAAUUGGCAUCACUAGAACAGUGAAACUAGCCAUGUUGAAAAAGUAACUUAGCUUUUAAUUCUAACAUGUACAUGUAUUCUGAUAAUAUUCAUAUCAUGUAUUGUGAAAUGAACCAUUUAUCCACCGAUGUUCCUGGGUGACCCUUGCUAAAACAAUUAAGCCCUAGAAGAACAAACCACAUAAUAACAUCAAGUUUUUGAGGUUUGAAUGCAGAAUCGAUUCAGCUAAAAGCGGAUGUGACCCAAAAUAAUAUAUAUCCAUCCAUCACUUAAGAAGUAUUUUUACCAUGUUGGAUAACUAGUCUGAAUUCUCAUGUGCAUCCAUCCGCCCACUCAAGGAUCACUUGUCCCCGCAUGCCCUUCACGUAUAAUGCUCCCUUGAUACUUAAGACAUGCACAUAUAACUGCAUGAUACAAUGAAACAAAUUAGGGUUUGUCAAUGCAAUGAGUUUUUUAAACAUUCAACAACAAUCUAUUUACAACUCCUUUCUCUAACAAUUGGUGAAUGCCACCCACCAACCGGUCCCACAGCUACCAACAUGGGGAAGGUAAACUACAAUGUCCACAAAGCAAGGAAGGUGAUGCUAGGCUUCAACCUACAACCUCACUUGUGGAUUCUCAUCUCAUUAGCAAGCAUGGAGGGACUCCUUGCUCUAACAAGAGUAAGCCUAAACAUGGAUACUUCUAGCACUAGUGUCCAAAAAAAAAACGAAACUCAAAAAGAAAACCAAGAUAAAUGAAAAGGGAAAAAUCCAGAAAAGCACAACCAUUUAUCUACUAGCAUUCAGAAAAACCCUUGCAUUUUGUUUAUAUGCAGAGAACCCUUAUAUUUUUUGCUACCUUUCACAUUAACCAAAAUAUCCGGUUUUUUAAAGAAAUUACCAAUUGUUUUGUGACAUGACAUUUAUCUUUUUCAUUUUUAGGUUAACAUGGAAUCAAAAAUAAGUGACGUUGCCUCUUAUCUAUGGUAAAACGUGAGAAAUAGAUCAUUUACUCAACAAUCAUUUACUUAGGCAAAUAUAAGUGACAUUGCUUAUUUUUUUUCCAUGUCAACUUAAAAACAAACAAGAUAAAUAUAUUGUCAUAAAACAACCGAUAAUUUAAAAUUAAAGAAAAAACCCAGAUAUUUGGGUAAAUCUGAAAUGUAACUGAAAAUGUAAUGGUUUUUCUGCAUAUAAACAAAAUAUAAGGGUUUCUCUGAGUGUUGGUAGAUAAAUGGUUGUGCUUUUCUGCAAUUUGAAAACAAAAAAAAAAAUCUGAAAAACCAACAGUUGGUUUCUCCGAAGUCAAAAUCAGAAAUUUUUGGUUCAUUACCAGUUUCAAGUGAAAAACCAAACAGAACCAUGUUCACCCUUAUCUAACACUAACAAAUUAAAAGGGCUGCACAGUGACUUAUCUAUUUCUAAGUAUCGGGACUACUACAGGAAAGUAAUCUUUAUCGAACAACAAAGAAACCCUACAUCGACUCCCUCAUAAAGUUAUAUACAUAAAUUGAUAAAUUGGAUAAAAAAGACAGAAUAACUAAUUCACACAUUGAAACAAAAACAAAAAGAGUGUCCAUUUUCUAUAAGAACAAAGAUCAUCCACAAAGCUAAAACAAUAUAUUACUCCCUCCAUUCGAGAAAAAUGUAAUGUUUGAUUUAUCAUGUACUUCAAUAUAUAGAAGUCUUUGACUAAUAAUCAAAUACCAAAAAUACCCCUAGGACAUAGGACAUAACUAACUGAGAAAACUUGUGCAUCAAAAUCAAUGUCACCAAUUUCUUGCUAUAAUUAUCCAGGGAAAAAUAGAUACAUUUGGACUAGAAUCCUCAGAAGUUUUGGUAGAACUCAAAACAAAAGUUGCUCCCUUAUAAAAUAAUCAAAUACAAUAAAAACUUCAUUAGAAGGCAUUAAGUAGAUCAUGUUCAGAUUCUUCUCCCACCAAACAUCUUCAACGUCGUCUUUUUGCCUAAUUUGUAUGUCCAUUUUCUCGUGGGUUAUUAAAACAUCUUAAUCUAGUUUCUAAAAAAAUGAAUUUAAGCAAAAUAAGCAUUCCAUACUUAACAUGCAUCCUAGAAAGUUGUGGAACUACUCAUAUGAUACGCAAAGGCAAAGCUUACAACCGGUAUAACAUUAAAAAUAGUCUAGACUCUAGAAUAACAAGUGACAUCUAAUAAAGCCAUCUUAAUUGCUUAAUUUUUUUACUAAUUAGUUGCAAAUUAUGGGAAGACAACAAUCAUAUCAUAUGAAUAUAACAUAUAUAUCCCAAGACAAUCUUUACCCUCAAGUGGAACUAAUUCAGGAGUUGUAUCAUUAUAUUAUUGUGAUCCUUGUUGUCUUAAUACAUGACCACACCAUGAUGAGGAAUAACUCAGAAACAAUUCUCCUUAAUUACUUAGUUUUUAUCUCGAAUUGGUGGUAAAAACUAAAAUAAUCAAAACUCUAAACGGUAAUUAUCCAGUUUGGGUGGAGCUUCAUUUAGUCUCAUUUCUUAUAACUUAUUCAUUUAGCACAAGCAAAAAGUAUCAGAAAGUUGUCAGCAAUCACCAACCAGCUAUCAUAGAUGUAGGCAGUUGAAUUGCAAGUAAAGUUACUCAUGCUUCAUUGCUUCUUCCUAAUACUGGAAGUUCUAAAUUUUUUUUAACAAAAUCGCACCUGAAGUUAUUUUAGCAUACAAAUUCACAGUUAUUUUGUUGCAUACAUUUUAAAGUGUUUAUGAUGAUGACCCUAAAAAAUCUCUAUUUAUUAUUUACAGUUCUGGCAAAGGGAGGCUGCAAUGUUAAAGCAACAACUGCAGAGUCUGCAAGAGAAUCAUAGGUAAAAUUUCUAUCUAACAAGAUUCAGUAAGUGCAAAGCAUGAAAACUAGUGAUACAGACUAUGUUCUUAAUCCAUAAGGACAACCUUUUACAUGAAUUUCUAAGAGGGCAAAUAGUUUGACAUGUUACAUUCAUAUACUACAUUAUUACAGGGCUAAAUAGUGAAUAAUCCUGGAAAUAAAAAACUAAUAAUUAGACUAUAUUGUAUAAUAGUUAUAAAGUUAAUAUUUGAUAUUGAGAAAUAAAAUGAAAUAUUAUUGGAUAUCUAAUAAAACAGAAUUACUAGAGAAAAAAUAAUAAAGAUUUAGAUACUUAAAUAUAAUUACGGGAGUAAAGUGAAAUAUAUUGAAUAAGGGGGUUAAAUAUACAAAACAUAAAAACAAUAUAAGCAUUUAAUAGUAGUUGAUACAAAAAUAAAAAUAAGUCGAGUGUUCCAAUGUAAUAACCUCUUUAAACAUUAUUUCAUAUAGUAAUAAACUNAAAAAAAAAAAAAAAAAAAAAAAAAAAAAAAAAAAAAAAAACCUCCCGUUCCCAUUGGAGAUGCUCUAACAACAAGUAAUCCUAUACUUGUAAUGCAAUCUAGUAUCCUUAAGAAACUUCUGGAAAUUGAUUAAAAUAUACAAGGAUAUAUUGAGUUUAACAAUAACAAUUAUAGGCGAAUGAUGGGUGAAGAGCUUUCUGGUUUAAGUGUGAAAGAUCUACAGGGCAUGGAGAGCCAACUUGAAAUGAGUCUCAGAGGUAUCCGUAUGAAAAAGGUUUGAAUCUACUAACCUUUAUCUAAUGCUAAUCUUGUGACUUAUAUACUUUACUUAUGUAACCAAAAAAACUUUGUCUUGAUGACAAUUGAUGAAUUGCUAUAGGACCAACUUCUUUUUGAGGAAAUCGAAGAACUCAGCCGAAAGGUCAAGCCAAAACCUUAAGACCAUUUUCAAAUGUCAAUUCUAGAGAAAGUAUAUCUUCAAGUAACUUGAUCUUUUUUUACUCAUUCAGGGGAAUCUCAUCCACCAUGAAAAUGUCGAACUUUGUAAGAAAGUAACCCAAAUUCGUGAAGAAAAUACCGAACUCUACAACAAGGUAUUUAAUAUUUUAUCAACUGCAGUGAAAAAUAUUUCAGUAAAAUCAUGAAACAUAAUGAAUUAGUAAUUUUGUCACCUCCUAGAUUUAUGGAAUAAGAGAUGGAGAAGCAGCAAACAGAAAUGUAUUUUUGACAAAUGGUUCAAGCAUGAGAGAGGAUCCACAUCCCCCAAUCCAUCUCCAGCUUUCUCAGCCAGAUCAACACGAUGCAACUGAUCAAGCACCACUCCAUUCUACAAAUUUGGGGUGAUUAUUAAUAAUCUUUUAUUCAUUUUGUUAUAUUAAUAUCUCAAAGGUUUCAAUCAUAUAGCUAGAAUGAACAAUUAUUUUCUGAAAAUGAUGCAGAUUAUAACUACAAUAAUGAGAAGAUGGGUGAACUCCAAAGGCUGUUAAUUCAUUCCUCAUCAAAGAUAAACCCGUCUAGUUUAAAAGUUUUAUAGUGUUAGUCAGUGGUUACCAGAUCAUAGACAAUUCAGAAAUGAUGGAAUCAAAUUUGGAAAAUGGAGGGGACCAAAAAAAAAACUAGCUGCCUGUAAAAGAUUAAAGAAGCAAAUAAAUUGAAGGUCAAAGAACUACAUGAGUGGGGUUUUAUAUUUUAUUUCAUGAAUAUUUUCACUUAGAUGAAAAGUAAGUAAGAUUUGUACUUGAUUUGCUGAAAUCUAAGAAAGAAAUGUACAUAUAUAUAUUUAUGAAGAUUUGAAGUUUGAACACCAUGCCCCACACCACUAAAAAGAAAAAAAUGAACAUAGAAAUAUAAACACAUGACAGGAUCCACCACACAGCAUGAAAACCAAGUGGGUUGUUAUAAAUCAUCCCCCCCCCCCCCAAAAAAAAAAAAAGCAACAAAUAGAUGCGAACAUCAUCAACAUUUUAGUAUGCAAACAAAAAAUAAAUAUCCACCAUUUGAUUUGUAAGAAAGUUAUAAACUUAUAAUACAUGGCAAGGUAAGGGAUAUUUUGAAAAUACGGAUAAAGGAGUACACAACUCUUAUUAUGUCUACCUGCAGCAGAUCAUUUUGUAUUUAGUUGAACAUGUAGAAGUUAUUCAUGUUGUUGGAAACUGUAUAAGAUUUUAGUUUCAUAUAUAAAACCAUUUGUAGUGGAUAGAUAUGACCACUCCAAUUAUUCAAAUUACACAUUGGUUCUCUUCAAUAAAAUCUCUUAGUUGAUAAUAAUUUGCUACGAAUUGCAGAAAAGAUUGCAAAUACCUUCUUUUCAAAUGAUACUAAUUCCCGAUCAUACCAAAUCUGGUACUCAUCUUUGUGUAUUGUAAAUUGUGAACAUUUAGUUAAACCAUGAAACAAGCAACAAAACUACCAGAAUGUGUCAUAAACUUAUAUCUGAGCAAAGAUGAGAGUUGUAUAUAUUAAACUUAAAGAUUGCUUCAAAACUCCAAAUUUAUGAGAGCUAUACACUAGCAUAUAGAAUAUAAAUGAUAUGGUUUUGUUAAUUUGCAAACAAAGAUAUAUUACAGAUCCUGGUAAAAAAACAAAUGAUUCAGUCAAACUUUAUCUAAUAUCAGCAUUAAUAGAACCUUUUCUUAGAAUAAAAGAUGGUUAUGCACUUAUGCAUACAAAUAGCAGGCAGCUCAAUAACCUUUUAGAAAGUAGAUUAAGAAGGUUAAAAAAUUGUUACUCAAUACUCAUAAACAAAGGCCAAACUAAGUUCAGGAAUUUCAUGUCCAUAAAACUGUCAAGUUCGUUAUUUUGGAAAAUUAACAAGCAUAAUUAGAAAAAAUACAAAGCACCUGAAAUUUCAAGCCAUCCACCUUCCAACAUGCAUUUGACUCCUUUUUUUGGUCUACAUGCAUCAACUACAGACAAUUUUAAAGAGAAAUCAAGUUGUAAUCCAAGUAAAACCUAGAAAGCUGAACCGUUUAAUCGUACACAAAACCGAGCGAAAGCAAAAAAAACAAAAGAUUCGUUGUGUCCUCGACAAUUAUGUCAGGUUUAAAGACUUUGAAAGUUGCAAAAAAAAGAGAAAAUAAAGCUUCACCAUACCUGUAACUCAUGCCAAGUUGCCAACAGGGAUCUGCCUUCGAUGAUUCGAUCAAAGCAUUUUCCUUAACAUACUGACCUAUGAGAGCAAUUUACAAACAAACAAACAUAAAAUUAUCUUCAAAAAUGAUAAAAAUAUGCUGAAACACAAGAAACAGCGAACUGGAUCAAUUCAAAGUACAAUUUACGUUCACAAAUCGUUUUCAGAAAACAGAAAUCAAGCAUUUUUUUUCUUUGUUCACUUUCAUACUAUUAUCCACAUUAAUAUAUAUCGACGCACGAUUAAUAUCACAUUUUUGUGAUUUUUUCUCGAUUCAUAAUUGAUCGAUUCACUUACCAGAACAUGUAGAAAACACGUGCACUGUUAUCAUCGAAACUCGAAUCGAUUCCAUGCUAACACCAUAUAGACAUGGCGAUAUCGAAUUUAAACUGUAUGUUUCAUGGAAGGAGACAGAUAAUUUAGCUGCUAGAAAAGAUGAUGAAGAGAGAAGGAGAUAUGGUGACGGUGAGGGUUGAAAAAUAUCUAGAACAGGAGGCGUGUCGACUGGUGCGUGGCUGGGUGGAGGGCUACAGUUGGUCCAUAGGGUACCCUCCCCCACCAG